UGCCAUCCGCCGCGGUAAUACGGAGGGUCCGAGCGUUAUCCGGAAUCAUUGGGUUUAAAGGGUCCGUAGGCGGUUAGAUAAGUCAGUGGUGAAAGUUUUCGGCUCAACCGGAAAAAUGCCAUUGAUACUGGAUUUCUUGAAUUAGUGUGAAGUGGUUAGAAUGUGUAGUGUAGCGGUGAAAUGCAUAGAUAUUACACAGAAUACCAAUUGCGAAGGCAGAUCACUAACACUAUAUUGACGCUGAGGGACGAAAGCGUGGGGAGCGAACAGGAUUAGAUA
rnacentral:rRNA from 1 species